UUCCGUAGGUGAACCUGCGGAGGGAUCAUUACCGAGUUUACAACUCCCAAACCCCUGUGAACAUACCUUAUGUUGCCUCGGCGGAUCAGCCCGCGCCCCGUAAAAAGGGACGGCCCGCCGCAGGAACCCUAAACUCUGUUUUUAGUGGAACUUCUGAGUAUAAAAAACAAAUAAAUCAAAACUUUCAACAACGGAUCUCUUGGUUCUGGCAUCGAUGAAGAACGCAGCAAAAUGCGAUAAGUAAUGUGAAUUGCAGAAUUCAGUGAAUCAUCGAAUCUUUGAACGCACAUUGCGCCCGCCAGUAUUCUGGCGGGCAUGCCUGUUCGAGCGUCAUUUCAACCCUCAAGCCCAGCUUGGUGUUGGGAGCUGCAGUCCUGCUGCACUCCCCAAAUACAUUGGCGGUCACGUCGAGCUUCCAUAGCGUAGUAAUUUACACAUCGUUACUGGUAAUCGUCGCGGCCACGCCGUUAAACCCCAACUUCUGAAUGUUGACCUCGGAUCAGGUAGGAAUACCCGCUGAACUUAAGCAUAUCAAUAAGCGGAGGAA
rnacentral:rRNA from 1 species